UACGUAGGUGGCGAGCGUUGUCCGGAUUUACUGGGCGUAAAGAGCGCGCAGGCGGCUGGUCAAGUCCGAUGUGAAAGCUCCCGGCUUAACCGGGAAAUUGCAUCGGAAACUGAUCGGCUGGAAGGUGGGAGAGGGUAGCGGAAUUCCCGGUGUAGUGGUGAAAUGCGUAGAUAUCGGGAGGAACACCAGUGGCGAAAGCGGCUACCUGGCCCAUUCUUGACGCUGAGGCGCGAAAGCUAGGGGAGCAAACGGG
rnacentral:rRNA from 1 species